AACUCCGUGCCAGCAGCCGCGGUAAUACGGGGGGAGCAAGCGUUGUUCGGAUUUACUGGGCGUAAAGGGCGCGUAGGCGGCCUCCGCAAGUCAGUUGUGAAAUCUCCGAGCUUAACUCGGAAAGGUCAACUGAUACUGCGGGGCUAGAGUGCGGAAGGGGCAACUGGAAUUCUUGGUGUAGCGGUGAAAUGCGUAGAUAUCAAGAGGAACACCUGCGGCGAAGGCGGGUUGCUGGGCCGACACUGACGCUGAGGCGCGAAAGCCAGGGGAGCAAACGGGAUUAGAUACCCCGGUAGUCCUGGCAGUAAACGGUGCACGUUUGGUGUGGGGGGGUUACCCUCUCUGUGCCGAAGCUAACGCGAUAAACGUGCCGCCUGGGUAGUACGGUCGCAAGAUUAAAACUCAAAGAAAUUGACGGGGACCCGCACAAGCGGUGGAGUAUGUGGCUUAAUUCGAUGCAACGCGAAGAACCUUACCUGGGCUUGACAUGAAAUGUGUCCCUGAUGAAAGUCAGAUAGUGUAGAAAUACACACGUUUCACAGGUGCUGCAUGGCUGUCGUCAGCUCGUGUCGUGAGAUGUUGGGUUAAGUCCCGCAACGAGCGCAACCCUUGUCAUUAGUUGCUACAUUCAGUUGGGCACUCUAAUGAGACUGCCGGUGACAAACCGGAGGAAGGUGGGGAUGACGUCAAGUCCUCAUGGCCCUUAUGGGUAGGGCCUCACACGUCAUACAAUGGCGCAUACAGAGGGUUGCCAACCCGCGAGGGGGAGCCAAUCCCAGAAAGUGCGUCGUAGUCCGGAUUGGAGUCUGCAACUCGACUCCAUGAAGUCGGAAUCGCUAGUAAUCGCGGAUCAGCAUGUCGCGGUGAAUACGUUCCCGGGUCUUGUACACACCGCCCGUCACACCAUGGGAGCGGGUUUCACCAGAAGUAGCUAGCCUAACCUGCAAAGGAGGGCGGUUACCACGGUGAGAUUCGUGACUGGGGUGAAGUCGUAACAAGGUAGCCGU
rnacentral:rRNA from 1 species